GAAAAUGGCGGCGGCGGGAGCGGCCCCAAGCUCGGGGUUUGCUUUAUGGACUUAUUUUAGUAACUCCGUCCUUAUCCAGCCCUUCAAAGCACCUUCUCACGGAGAACAGAACCCUGUCAGUUCUGGGAUUCUGUGAUCCUGUGAUGUUAGCAGUUCACGCACCAGAAAAUCUCCAGGGACCUUCUGGCUGAGCGUUGUAUAGAAACACAGCCAUAAAUUACUGCACUUACAUUUACAUCACUACGCUAUUACAUGAAGGCUCAGAUCAGGAGCAGCACCUUCUGUUUUCCUCUAUUUAUUUUUUUUUUUCCUGUGUGCUCAUUCCCGUUUUAAAGUCCCCCCCUAUUUACCUGCAGCACAGUCUAGACAGCUAAUGAAAUAAUAAGAGCCCAGCGGGUUUUUACAAGAACGUAGACAAAAAGAGCAUCAGAAAUAAAUAUAUGAGUAAGAAUUGGAAGGUCGAUGGCUGGGUACUGAGUGUGCCACAGGCAAGGGUGUCCCGGGAUUAUGAGGUAAUUCCCUGUCGAGCAUCCUGACCAAAACAAUCAGGCAUUGCUGGAUUCCUGUCACCCUCCACACAAGGCAUGAAAAAGCAAUGGAGGAAUAAUCCUCUGGAAAACCCAGUUCUCGCAUUCCCCCUCCUCACAGCGGAGAGAAACAGGGAAUAAUCGUCCCUGGUGCCGCUGCCUGUUCCUUUCCCUGCUGGUUGCUCAUCAGCCCCCUGGUUGCCCAUCGGUUUUUCCAGCCCGUGGAGGGUGUUGUCGCGUGGUCCUUCCUCCCGUCUUACUCCCGGCUGUUGUUUCUGGAGCUGCCGGUACUACUGCUUGGCACGGCUCCCCCGGUGACUCCGAGCUGGUGGCAGCAGGGCUGAGCCCUGCCCAGCGCUUUCCCAGGAAGGCCUGGCUUCCUCUCAGAGGAAAACCAGCUCAGCCCCCGGAGCGUGUCUGCCCGUCCAUCGGGGAGAAAAUAAAAAGUGAUUCAGCUUAUUUUUGUCUCCCCGCUGACGUCCCCGGUGAAGCGGAGCUGGUGUGGUUUGAUUUGAAACACGGUCCUUGCUUACAGCAGGGAUUUUAUUUGAAUGUUGAUUGUUUGUUUAUCAUUCCCUUCUAUGUGUAUGGCUGGGUAAAAAGCCCUUUUGUUUUGAAGCGUCCUGUGAACUGCAGCGGGAAGCUCAGGAACUCCUGGUGGACUGAAUGAAACAUAGUCAAUGAUAAUAAAAUUAUAGAAGGUUGGAGCCAGGAGGAAACUAAGUAGAUGGUGUGGUUGGACUUCCCACACUAAACCUGCACUUGGAUGUUUGCUGGCGUGUUCUUAAACGUUUUUAACACCUCCAGGGAGCUUCCAUAACAUUGUGAGAUGGAUCUUCUGAAUGUUCCACCUUUGUGACACUGAGAAGCUCUUGACUUACUUGGCAAAAUUGAGCAUGGAAGAAAUUUAAAUUGCUCUGAAGUGCCCUCCUCUAACUGAAAUAGGUUAGAACUAAACAUGUGUUGUUAGAACAGGAAGAUAUUUGGAAUUUGGAGUGAGUUAGGGGUUUUUUUUCUGAGAUGUUUUCUGGUUUAUUUGGGAACUUUAAAUUGAUGACUUUAAUGGUGGAACGGGUGUAUUGGUUUUAUACUACAUUUAUACUACAUUCCUGGAGGAUAACUGAGGAUCAGGAAUCGAGUACAUGGUGAAAACAGUGAUGGAAUCCUGGGUGACAACAUUACUCCUUACACAUUUCAGAAGUGGAUGCAGAGGGAGAAUUCAGGCCCAAAAUAAAGUCUUCCUUACCUGAGCUGAACAUUUUUCCCUCUCAGAUGAAAGUUAUUGUAUCAAAUUCAGUUGAGACGCCAUGGAUAAGCCAUGAGUGGCUGGGAGAGGAAAUCCCAGUUUAUCUGACUCACCAUUUUUGUGCAAAUAUUAACUUUGGCUGGUACACAUUUCUCCUGAUAUCUCUUUUCCAGAUCUGAGUCUCAGAGUACAUUGUCUUGGCUAUAUUGAACUGUAGCCUUUGGUUACUUGAAUAACUUUCAUUUUUAACAGUUUUAUCUAUUUAUUGUAUCUGAAAGGUAAAGAAAAUGCAGUUUUCCCCAUUACUCUGCUUCUGGUGAUGCAGUAUUAAAUUCUGCACCAGUGGAAAACUUAGAUUUAAUGGUGGCAAAAAGCACAAUGCAGAGGAUUUAGUUUUCUUUGCUAAAAGUGGUGGAAAACCCUCGAAGAUGGCAAUCCCAACUUCCCAGGAUCUACCUGCACUUUUAUCCCCCACACUCUCUGGUUUAUUUUGUCCUUGGAAGAAGAAACAUUGGUGGACACUGGAGUUGACCUUUAAUUUUGAAAAAUGUUCAUAUUCUCUGUCAAAACACUCUUCAUGGUUGCUCCCACCAACCAGAUUGUUGUUUCUAUUCAAAAUUAUCAAAGGUGAUGAAGAGAGAGGAAGUUAAUUAAAUUAAUUCAAUUAAAUUGAUUCAGAUGUC